UGAAACUGAGAGUCUUGAGGGCAGGAGAGGAAAGCAGAAUUCCUGGUGUAGCGGUGAAAUGCGUAGAAAUCAGGAGGAAUACCAGUGGCGAAGGCGGCUUUCUGGACUGCCCCUGACGCUG
rnacentral:rRNA from 1 species